rnacentral:rRNA from 1 species
AACGAACGCUGGCGGCAGGCCUAACACAUGCAAGUCGAGCGAGAUCUUCGGGUCUAGCGGCGGACGGGUGAGUAACGCGUGGGAAUAUGCCUCUUGGUACGGAAUAGCCUCGGGAAACUGGGAGUAAUACCGUAUGUGCCCUUUGGGGGAAAGAUUUAUCGCCAAGAGAUUAGCCCGCGUUGGAUUAGGUAGUUGGUGGGGUAAUGGCCUACCAAGCCGACGAUCCAUAGCUGGUUUGAGAGGAUGAUCAGCCACACUGGGACUGAGACACGGCCCAGACUCCUACGGGAGGCAGCAGUGGGGAAUCUUAGACAAUGGGGGCAACCCUGAUCGAGCCAUGCCGCGUGAGUGAUGAAGGCCUUAGGGUUGUAAAGCUCUUUCAGCUGGGAAGAUAAUGACGGUACCAGCAGAAGAAGCCCCGGCUAACUCCGUG